rnacentral:rRNA from 1 species
CCUAGGGGGGCAGCAGUGAGGAAUAUUGGUCAAUGGACGCAAGUCUGAACCAGCCAUGCCGCGUGCAGGAAGACGGCUCUAUGAGUUGUAAACUGCUUUUGUACGAGGGUAAAUCCAGAUACGUGUAUCGGGUUGAAAGUAUCGUACGAAUAAGGAUCGGCUAACUCCGUGCCAGCAGCCGCUGUAAUACGGAGGAUUCAAGCGUUAUCCGGAUUUAAUGGGGUUAAAGGGUGCGUAGGCGGUUCGAUAAGUUGGGGGUUAAAUCCCGGGGCUCAACUCCGGCACUGCCUCUGAUAAUGUCGGGCUAGAGUUUAGUUGCGGUAGGCGGAAUGUAUGGUGUAGCGGUGAAAUGCAGAGAGAUCAUACAGAACACCGAUUGCGAAGGCAGCUUACCAAACUACGACUGACGUUGGGGCACGAAAGCGUGGGGAGCAAACAGGAUUAGAUACCCUGGUAGUC